ACCCGCAUAGUAAAAAACUGUAUCACAAACAGUCCAUACGAUACAUCUACGGACUCAGAAAAGGUAUAAUUUUACAUAAAUUCGGGUAUCCUUAAUCAAGAGUGUAGAUUAUCUCGCAGCGAAAAAAAGAAAAAAAAAUCAUAGCGAAGGCUACCGCUACGGGUCUAGCACGAGAUCUCUACCGGAGAUAUCCGUUCCCCUGCCCGUAGGACUUCCAGGAUUGUGACAACGACGAUAUUUAGCCGGGCAGGAAAAAAUUGAAUCCGUCAACAGCAGCAAGCAGCACUGCGUAAAUGUGGAAUAUAACGCAACAACCGUUUACAGGACCCCCGGUCAGGAUAAGGAAAAGAAUUCGUUCGAUGUGCUUGUCCGUCUUACCGGAUGGCAGUGUUAAUCGAUUCCAAAGAGGAGGAUGGAGAAGAAAUAAGUCAUCAUCUGCCGGAAACUAAAAACACUGGAACCAUUCGCAGGAUCAGUAAGGCCCAUUAUACUGUUAUUCCACGGUGUUUCCUGGCAGGAUCAGGCAAUUACGGUGGUGGCCUACACUGGAUAAACGUAGUGAAAAUUAUUACAAAACCAAUGAUGUUUUUCUUAUCGAGAGUGGAUCGAAUUUGUGAUGUAAAAUAUGUGUAAUUGCAAUUUUAAUGAAAAUAAAUUAUAAUGGGGUGGUAAAAUAAUGGCUUAUGACAAACAUUAUUUAUUGGAAUUCUUAAACUCUAAAAACAUUUGUAUAUGUGUGCGUGAUUUAUUCACACACGGUUCCGAAUACCGUUUUUGUAACGUUGGAAGAACGAUUUGUGAAAUCUUUUCAUAACUUUUACUAUAAAUGUUUAGAUACAAGAGAACUUUAAGGAAAACUAUAGCAAUAACAGUUCAAUGCAGAAAAAACGUUUCUGGUCGCGGCUUGUUUACAUUAUCUCAACUGUUUGUAGAACAGUUUCUCCAUAUAAGUGUUUGAACGGUUUUUAACAAUUACAUAACCUAACGACAUAUUAAAAAGACUGUGAAUUCGGAAUUCACACUUCAACCAAUGUUUUCCACAGUUUGAAUAAUCGUUUGCUAAAAGUUUUUUUACGCUUAAUCCAAUCGUCGUUUGACUAUUUCACAAAUCGUAUGGUUACAAUUCUUAUUUA